AGAGAGAGAGAGAGAGAGAGAGAGAGAGAGAGAGACAGAGACAGAGGGAGGGGAGAAAGAGAGACACCUUACACUAUAUAAUUUGGGACAAGCUUUUCAUUUACUAUAUUUUUAAGCUUGUAUCUACAUGACUAUUCUUGUUUUGUUAAAAAUAUAUGUCUGUAUGACUCCUAUUACUUGAAUGACAAAAGAAAGAUCAUAAUGCUCUCAAGUUACACACCCAGUGGAAUUUUUAGCAGCCUUUGUCAUGCGGAAGAUGGUUUAUCGAUUUUUCUGUUUACCUGACUGAUGUUUAUGUCAGGUUUACGUCAGACAUAUAUUAAAACAAAAUAUUAUGAUUUUCUUAACAGACGUUUUCAAAAUUCUUAUUUUUUUCCAGUGUCAAUGUCCUUUUACUGAAGCCACAGAUUACAGACUUUGAGCAUUUUAAACAUCCAUGCAUUGAUUCAUUUAUUCACUCAUCCAUUCAAUUUAAGAGUCCAUACACUGGCACAAUGAGGCCAAUGACUGGUUUACUAACACUACCGAAUUACAGGCAGUGUAUGGGUAAAGUAUGUAUGAUGUUUUUACUUAAAGCAGCCAACUGGAAAACCUAUAUAUAUAUAUAUAUAAACAUAACAUUAUUAGAUAGCUUACCCAUUGUGACUAUACAUCAAUAGACAACUGAACUACAAAGAAAACCAGGUGAAGUAUAUUUGAUUAUAUACCUAAAUAUGCCAUCACACACACACACACACACACACACACACACACACACACACACACACACACACACACACACACACACACACACACACACACACACACACACACACACACACACACACAGACACACACACA